GGGUGAGAAGCACAGAGGUUGUGCGUUCGGCUGUUAACCGAUUGGUCGCAGGUUCGAAUCCUGCCUUGCCCGCCA
rnacentral:tRNA from 2 species